AGCGAAUCGAUGGGAGCUUGCUCCCUGAGAUUAGCGGCGGACGGGUGAGUAACACGUGGGCAACCUGCCUAUAAGACUGGGAUAACUUCGGGAAACCGGAGCUAAUACCGGAUACGUUCUUUUCUCGCAUGAGAGAAGAUGGAAAGACGGUUUACGCUGUCACUUAUAGAUGGGCCCGCGGCGCAUUAGCUAGUUGGUGAGGUAAUGGCUCACCAAGGCGACGAUGCGUAGCCGACCUGAGAGGGUGAUCGGCCACACUGGGACUGAGACACGGCCCAGACUCCUACGGGAGGCAGCAGUAGGGAAUCUUCCGCAAUGGACGAAAGUCUGACGGAGCAACGCCGCGUGAACGAAGAAGGCCUUCGGGUCGUAAAGUUCUGUUGUUAGGGAAGAACAAGUACCAGAGUAACUGCUGGUACCUUGACGGUACCUAACCAGAAAGCCACGGCUAACUACGUGCCAGCAGCCGCGGUAAUACGUAGGUGGCAAGCGUUGUCCGGAAUUAUUGGGCGUAAAGCGCGCGCAGGUGGUUCCUUAAGUCUGAUGUGAAAGCCCACGGCUCAACCGUGGA
rnacentral:rRNA from 1 species